rnacentral:rRNA from 1 species
UACAGAGGCCCCAAGCGUUACUGAGAAUCACUGGGUUUAAAGGGUGCGUAGGCGGACUAGUAAGUCUGGUUUGAAAGUCAGCGGCUCAACCGUUGAGGGUGGCUGGAUACUGUUAGUCUUGAACUUGUUGGAGGCAGCCGGAACGGAUCGUGUAGCGGUGAAAUGCAUAGAUAUGAUCCAGAACACCAAUUGCGUAGGCAGGCUGCUAGGACUGAGUUGACGCUGAGGCACGAGAGCAUGGGGAGCAAACAGG